rnacentral:rRNA from 1 species
GAAUCCCGUAUGUGGCACGGACUCCCGUUACUCUGUGAUACACUCUCAACGAGUCGAGUUGUUUGGGAAUGUAGCUCCAAAUGGGUGGUAAAUGCCAUCUAAAGCUAAAUAUUGGCGAGAGACCGAUAGCAAACAAGUACCGUGAGGGAAAGAUGAAAAGCACUUUGGAAAGAGAGUGAAACAGUACGUGAAAUUGUUGAAAGGGAAACGCUUGAAGUCAGUCAUGCCCUUUGGGAUUCAGCCUUGCUUCUGCUUGGUUUACUUCUCUUUGGGUGGGUCAACAUCAGUUUGGGUCGGAGGAGAAAGACUUGGGGAAGGUGGCAGCAUUCGUGCUGUGUUAUAGCCCCUUGUUGUAUACUUCGAUUUGGACUGAGGACCGCAGCACGCCUUUGGCCGGGGCUCGCCCACGUACGUGCUUAGGAUGUUGGCAUAAUGGCUUUAAGCGACCCGUCUUGAAACACGGACCAAGGAGUCUAACAUGUGCGCGAGUGUUUGAGUGUUAAACUCAGACGCGAAAUGAAAGUGAAAGGUUGGGAACACUUAUGUGUGCACCGACGCCCGGAGCUGACCUUCUGUGACGCAUCUGCGGUAGAGCGUGUAUGUUGGGACCCGAAAGAUGGUGAACUAUGCCUGAAUAGGGUGAAGCCAGAGGAAACUCUGGUGGAGGCUCGUAGCGAUUCUGACGUGCAAAUCGAUCGUCAAAUUUGGGUAUAGGGGCGAAAGACUAAUCGAACCAUCUAGUAGCUGGUUCCUGCC